GCCGUGAUUGUACAGCGCUUAGCACAUUGUGUUGUGGCGGCAAUGAUCCAGGUUCAAAUCCUGGUCAUGGCA